GAACUUGGGUGGAUGACAGUUGACAAUAGAAUAAAAUACCACAAAUAUUUACUUCUAUAUAAAUGUAUGCGUAUGGAAGCACCAAUGUACCUAGUUCAAAAGUUUAAACUGAAAUCAGAUAAUAAUCCUUACUCCCUGAGAGGCGUCACUCAAGGUAAUCUGAUAGUUCCUAAGCCAAAAGCUGAGCUAUUUAAGAAAUCUUUUGUUUAUUCUGGAUCAGUGUUAUGGAAUGGACUACCAAACAAAAUGCGUAAAGCUCAAAACACUUAUACUUUUAAACAAAGUAUCAAGAAGUACUUAACACAGUCCUGAUAAGAUUAUGUUUUCUACAAUGUAUUUGUAUAUUCUUUUAUUUAUAUUUGUAUUUGAUUUUUUGACUACAUGUACAUCUUGAACAGCCUUAUAUCUUAUCAUGUUAGUAAUAUUACAUUGAACUAAUUGACUGUAAAUUAACUAUGUGUAAAUAUCUGUUUUUUGAUUGUAUUGUAAUUUGUAUGUGAGGGCCUCAGGGAAGAUUAGUUUAUUGUAACUAACUGAGUUUACCCUCUUUAAAUAAAGAAUUUAUUAUUAUUAUUAUUAUUAUAGCACAGGAUUGUGCAAAAGAAGAUACUUCCUAUAAAUUGCUUAUUUCUUGACCAAUUUCAAUGGGGUUUUAUUCUUGAUUUCAUGGGGUUCUUUAAUAUGCUGAAUCUAACCGUGUAUUUAGUUUUUGGAUUUUGGGCCCCGUUUUUAAAUUGGUCCACAUUGAGGUCCAAAGGGUCCAAAAUUAAACUUUGUUUGAUUUCAUCAAAAAUUGAAUUAUUGGGGUUCUUUGAUAUGCCGAAUCUAACUGUGUAUUUAGAUUCUUAAAUUUUGGUUCCGUUUUCAAAUUGGUCUACAUUAAGGUCCAAAGGGUCCAAAAUUAAACUUAGUUUGAUUUUAACAAAAAUUGAAUUCUUAGGGUUCUUUGAUAUGCUGAAUCUAAACAUGUAUUUAGAUUUUUGAUUAUGGGCCCAGUUUUCAAGUUGGUCCAAAUCGGGGUCCAAAAUUAAACUUUGUUUGAUUUCAACAAAAAUUGAAUAUAUGGGGUUCUUUGAUAUGCUGAAUCUAACCAUGUAUUUAGAUUUUUGAUUUUUGGGCCCCGUUAUCAACUUUGUCCACAUUGAGGUCAAAAGGGUCCAAAAUUAAACUUUGUUUGAUUUCAUCAAAAAUUGAAUUCUUGGGGUUCUUUGAUAUGCUGAAUCUAACCAUGUAUUUAGAUUUUGGAUAUUGGACCAUAAUAGGUGAAUGUCCAAUUUAAAAUUUUUAAGUUCUUAGACCACAUUCAAUCUGUGUUAGAAACCUAUGCUGUGUCAAAUAUUUAAUCACAAUCCAAAUCCAAAGCUGUAUCAAGCUUGAAUGUUGUGUCCAUACUUCCCCCAACUGUUCAGGGUUCGACCUCUGUGGUCGUAUCAAGCUGCGCCCUGCGGAGCAUUUUAUCUAUUUUAAUACCUUUAUGAUGUAAUUUCCAUUUUUAGAUAUUACUGUUAAAUGAUGCUGAUUAAGGGAAUUUUGCUAUGUUUAGCCAUGACUAUGAUGUCAUUUUCUAUUUUAAUAUCUUUAUGAUGUAUUUAAAUGGGCUUUUAUGGUUACAAAGGAAUUUUAUUUUUAGAUAUUACUUUAAAUGUUGCUGAUUAAGGAUUUUUGUUUAUUUUUAGUCAUGACUAUGAUGUCACUUUCUAUUUUAAUACCUUUAUGAUGUAUUUAAAUGGGCUCCCAUGUAUUUAGAUUUUUAUACGACCGCAAAAAAAUUUUGUGGUCGUAUAUUGGUAUGACGUUGGCGUCGUCGUCGUCGUCGUCCGGCGUCGUCGUCGUCCGGCGUCGUCGUCCGAAUACAUAUUGGUUUUCGCACUCUAACUUUAGUUUAAGUGAAUGGAUCUUUUUGAAAUUUGACCAUAAGGUUAAAUACCACAAAAGGAAGGUUGGGAUUGAUUUUGGGGGUUAUGGUACCAACAGUUAAGGAAUUAGGGGCCAAAAAGGGGCCAAAAAUGAGCAUUUUCUAGUUUCCAGACAAUAAAUGUGGAACGGUGUAUGGAUCUCUCUGAAAUUAUACUACAAGUUUCCAUACCACAAAGGGAUGGUUAGAUUUGCUUUGGGGGGUUAUGGCUCAAGCCGUUUAGGAAUUAGGGGCAAAAAAGGGGGAAAAACAAGGUUGUCCUGGUUAAUGGACAAAUACUUUAGUACAAAACAUAAUUUAAAGCAGUGUAAGGGAGAUAAAUCAAAUACAUCAUUGAAAUUAUCUCCCUUACACUGCUUUUAAAUUAUGUAUAAAGUAAUGGUUAAUGAACAAUAAAGAUAAUCUAAAACAGUGUAAGGGAGGUAAUCCAAAUACAACGUUUUGGUUACUUCCCUUACACUGCUUUUAAAUUAUGUUUAAAGAAAUGCAUAUUUAUAAAGGAAGACCAGUAAAAAUAUCUGCAAAUGUUUUCAUCUUUUUUUUUUACCAAAAAAUCCAUAUGAAAGAUUUGACACUAUAUUUUUAUUAAUUCUAUUAUAAAAUAGAUUAAGUUAGCACUAUGGUAAAUUUAAAUGGGUAAUUAUGGUUGCCAACUCCAUUGGAAAUUAGAAUUGAGAUUAUGACCAUAUCUUGAGGGAAAGAAUUUUUUUUGGGGAAAAAGGGGAGGGGGGGGGGGGAUAAAAAGAAAUUGUGGGGGGCCAAUUUUUUCUCAUUUCAGAUUUCAGAAAUUAAAAAGAAUUAUUCUUCAAAUAUUAUUUUUUUUUCAAAUUUCAAAUAUUGAAAAAUUUCAAGAAGUAAUCUUUAAUUGCACAGUAUGGCGCAUUAGAUUUGUAAAAUCUUUGAUCACAUUUAUUUAUUUGUUAUGCCGAAUCUAACAGUGUAUUUAGAUUUUUAAUUUUGGGUCCAGUUUUCAAAUUGGUCUACAUUAAUGUCCAAAGGGUCCAAAAUUAAACUUUGUUUGAUUUUAGCAAAAAUUGAAUAUAUGAGGUUCUUUGAUAUGCUGAAUCUAAACAUGUAUUUAGAUUUUUGAUUUUUGGCCCAGUUUUCAAGUUGGUCCAAAUUGGGGUCCAAAAUUAAACUUUGUUUGAUUUCAACAAAAAUUGAAUAUAUGGGGUUCUUUGAUAUGCUGAAUCUAACCAUGUAUUUAGAUUUUUUAUUUGUGGACCCCGUUAUCUAAUUGGUUCAUAUUGAGGUCAAAAGGGUCCAAAAUUAAACUUUGUUUGAUUUCAUCUAAAAUUGAAUUAUUGGGGUUCUUUGAUAUUCCAAAUCUAACCGUGUAUUUAGAUUUGGAAUAUCAAAGAACCCCAAUAAUUCAAUUUUUGAUGAAAUCAAACAAAGUUUAAUUUGGACCCUUUUGACCUCAAUAUGAACCAAUUUGAUAGCGGGGCCCACAAAUAAAAAAUCUAAAUUCAUGGUUAGAUUCAGCAUAUCAAAGAACCCCAUAUAUUCAAUUUUUGUUGAAAUCAAAAAAAGUAUAAUUUUGGACCCCAACUUGAACCAACUUGAAAACUGGGCCCAUAAUCAAAAAUCUAAACACAUGUUUAGAUUCAGCAUAUCAAAGAACCCCAAGAAUUCAAUUUUUGUUAAAAUCAAACUAAGUUUAAUUUUGGACCCUUUGGACCUCAAUGAAGACCAAUUUAAAAAAGGGACCCAAAUUAAAAAUCUAAAAACACGGUUAGAUUUGGCAUAUCAAAGAACCCCAAUAAUUCAAUUUUCGAUGAAAUCAAACAAAGUUUAAUUUUGGACCCUUUUGACCUCAAUAUGAACCAAUUUGAUAGCGGGGCCUACAAAUAAAAAAUCUAAAUACAUGGUUAGAUUCAGCAUAUCAAAGAACCUCAUAUAUUCAAUUUUUGUUGAAAUCAAACAAAGUUUAAUUUUGGACCCCAAUUUGGACCAACUUGAAAACUGGGCCCAUAAUCAAAAAUCUAAAUAAAUGUUUAGAUUCAGCAUAUCAAAGAACCCCAUAUAUUCAAUUUUUGUUGAAAUCAAACAAAGUUUAAAUACUGGACCCUAUCUUGGACCAACUUGAAAACUGGGCCCAUAAUCAAAAAUCUAAACACAUGUUUAGAUUCAGCAUAUCAAAGAACCCCAAGAAUUCAAUUUUUGCUAAAAUCAAACUAAGUUUAAUUUUGGACCCUUUGGACCUUAAUGUAGACCAAUUUAAAAAACGGGACUUAAAAUUAAAAAUCUAAAUACACGGUUAGAUUUGGAAUAUCAAAGAACCCCAAUAAUUCAAUUUUUGAUGAAAUCAAACAAAGUUUAAUUUGGACCCUUUUGACCUCAAUAUGAACCAAUUUGAUAGCGGGGCCCACAAAUAAAAAAUCUAAAUUCAUGGUUAGAUUCAGCAUAUCAAAGAA